rnacentral:rRNA from 1 species
GAUGAACGCUAGCUACAGGCUUAACACAUGCAAGUCGCGGGGCAGCAUGGGGGUUGCUUGCAACCCCUGAUGGCGACCGGCGCACGGGUGAGUAACGCGUAUCCAACCUGCCCUUCACCACGGGCUAACCCGGCGAAAGUCGGACUAAUACCGUAUGUUGUCCAUUGACGGCAUCCGAUUUGGACGAAAGGCUUGGCGGUGUAAGGAUGGGGAUGCGUCCGAUUAGCUUGACGGCGGGGGAACGGCCCACCGUGGCUACGAUCGGUAGGGGUUCUGAGAGGAAGGUCCCCCACACUGGAACUGAGACACGGUCCAGACUCCUACGGGAGGCAGCAGUGAGGAAUAUUGGUCAAUGGGCGUAAGCCUGAACCAGCCAAGUAGCGUGCAGGAUGACGGCCCUAUGGGUUGUAAGCUGCUUUUAUGCGGGGAUAAAGUGGCCCACGUGUGGGCUUUUGCAGGUACCGCAUGAAUAAGGACCGGCUAAUUCCGUG